AAGAUUCGGGUUUCGGCCCUCCUCUUCAGCUGUGCGCUUCGGCUGCACGCUGUUGAAAACCUCACACCUGUGCACCUUUUCGGUUGAGGUGUUCGCGUCUCUUCCGCUUUACAUUUAACAACAAAGUCUAGAAUGUUCAAAACUAUAAACAUA
rnacentral:misc_RNA from 1 species